CAGACCCAUUUUCUCUCACCCUCAUCAAACACGCUGCUCACCCAUUUUCUCUCACUUGAAGCACUCUGCUCCAAUACCUAAUGAAACACACUGCUUUGCCUGCUCACAAUUCUCUAUCUCCUUCGCUUCUUGGGUUCUUCAGUUCUUCAAAUCUUCAUAUUCAGCUACCACUCGUCCACUCCAGAAACAUGUCAAGCUCUGCUUCAAGUUAUAAGAAAAAGAGAAAAAAUGCUGCUGGUAAUAGAACACACCCUGGAUGCUUGUAAGUUCCCGAUGAUGUUAAACAUAAUUUUAGGCAACUAUUAGAGGCUAAUGUGGAGAAGUCUAAUCAAAAAAAUAAAAACAAACUUAAUGACAUUGGAGAGGAGGAACAUUUUCAGUUUCAAAGAGGAAGACAUAAGGCAGAACAAUGGAUUGCGAGAACAUUUUCAGUUUCAAAGAGGAACAUUUCAGUACUAUGGAUUCUUUUGUGGGUAGAAGUAAGGCAGGACUGCAAACAACACUCAAUCAGAAAUUUAAAAAGGAAGAAAGAUAGGAAGUUUGUAUUUUGUUCAACUUUAAUUUUAUUGUGUGUUUGUAUUUUGUUCAACUUUAAUUUUAUUGAUGGCGAACCGUUUACAUAUUUUA